AGGGGUCUCCAGUGUUACGCCUUGGUUCUGAUCGCUGUGAACUUCAACUGAACUGCCAACAUGUGAAAUCGGGGCUUGCCCCCCAUGAAACAAGCCAAGGCAAAGGUCUCCUGUUAUCAUCAUCACUAGGAAGGUUCUCAAGUCAAUUCUGGUAAUGAGAUAAUCCAGGGAUCUAGUGACCAGACUCAGAUCAUUCUAGCUAAUUCAGUAGACAUUGCGAUCUAAUGCUAAGAUGUAGAAUCCGAGGCCAGAUUCGUUGCUGCGACUCGAGCUCAGAACUGAUUUCUGGGAUGGGGCUUCCACCUUAGCGGCCAGCAAAGAACAAGGCUGCAGAAAUGAGAUGGCACAGGCAGAAUUGAGGCUGCAUCCUCUCACAGCUAACAAUCCUGACCCUCCAGUC
rnacentral:lncRNA from 1 species